AUGUUAGAAGUAUUUUUCCUUUCCAAUAUUUUUCUAUUGGGGGUUCUCUCAUUCCUUUUAUUGAGCAUAAUGAUGCGAAUCGAGCUUUAAUGAGUUCUAAUAUGCAGCGCCAAGCAGUUCCGCUUUCUCGGUCCGAGAAGUGCAUUGUUGGAACUGGAUUGGAAUGCCAAACAGCUCUAGAUUCGAGGGUUUCUGUUAUAGCCGAACGCGAGGGAAAGAUCAUUUCUACUAAUAGUCACAAGAUCCUUUUAUCAAGUAGGAGUGCGUCUGUAGGUGGCUUUUCAAGUCCACCGUCAAAUCCCAGGGCUCAACCCUGGACAGGCGGUGGAAACUACCAAGCUGGAGUACGGUAGGGGCAGAGGGAAUUUCCGGUGGAGCGGUGAAAUGCAUUGAGAUCGGAAAGAACACCAAUAGCGAAAGCACUCUGCUGGGCCGACACUGACACUGAGAGACGAAAGCUAGGGGAGCAAAUGGGAUUAGAGACCCCAGUAGUCCUAGCCGUAAACGAUGGAUACUAGGUGCUGUGCGACUCGACCCGUGCAGUGCUGUAGCUAAUGCGUUAAGUAUCCCGCCU
rnacentral:rRNA from 1 species